UGGUUAAUUUUUGACCAUUUUCUCCCUUCUGCUCCCGCCAUGCCGCGUGCGGGAAGAAGGCCUUCGGGUUGUAAACCGCUUUUGUCAGGGAAGAAACGAGUUUCUCUAAUACAGAGACUUAAUGACGGUACCUGAAGAAUAAGCACCGGCUAACUACGUGCCAGCAGCCGCGGUAAUACGUAGGGUGCAAGCGUUAAUCGGAAUUACUGGGCGUAAAGCGUGCGCAGGCGGUUAUGCAAGACAGAGGUGAAAUCCCCGGGCUCAACCUGGGAACCGCCUUUGUGACUGCAUAGCUAGAGUACGGUAGAGGGGGAUGGAAUUCCGCGUGUAGCAGUGAAAUGCGUAGAUAUGCGGAGGAACACCGAUGGCGAAGGCAAUCCCCUGGACCUGUACUGACGCUCAUGCACGAAAGCGUGGGGAGCAAACA
rnacentral:rRNA from 1 species